GCUGUUUUCCUUUUUACAUUAGGGUUCUGUAUUUUUUUAACACGUUUUUUUUUAUUACUUUAACGUACUAGAAGUUGAGGAUAAAAUACUACAUAAUUAUAUAGAUCAGCAGGUCAUAGGACAAGAACGAACAAAGAUAAACAGGGUGAUAGGUAGUCAAGGCUAAUAUCCUAUUAUGGAAGAGCAAAUGAAAAAUGUAUUGUCCAAAGCAGACCAAUUUAAAAUCUCAACAAAGACAAUACUAGAUGAUUAAGUUUGAAAAGGAAUUCUUCCCGAUGAGUCUAAUUGUACCGAAACUUUAAACGAGC
rnacentral:lncRNA from 1 species